GCACACCUGGCUUGGGCUUGGAAACCCCAUGUCCUUUCCCCCAUAUCUUGCCCUGCGCAUCUCUUCAUCUGGAUCCUUUGUCAUAUUCUUUAUGAUAAACUGGUAAAAAAAAAAUAAAAAAGUGUUUCCCCGAGUUCUGUGGGCCACUUGAGCAAACUAAUGGAACUGGAGGAAGUGAUAGAAACACCAAUUUAUAGUUAGUCAGAAGCACAAGUAGAACAACCUGGGGUUUGUGAUUGGCUUCCAAAGUGUGGGAGCUGAGGUCAGUCUUGGGGGCCAAACCCUCAACCUGUGGAUCUGCCACAGAACUGAUUUCUUGCUUAUUGGCGGGGAGAAUCCCCAUACUUUUUGAGAUCACAGAAACACUGUAGUGAGUGUACAGUAAGGAAAACAGCCUGAUGUUGUUCUUCCCAGACCCCUUCUGCCUGGUUGCUGUGAGCCUCCUGGGGUUUUCUUUGUUCAGUUUGGGUAUGUGGCACCCAGUACAAGUGACUGCACUUUGGUCUGCAGGGUCUAGUAUAGGAAUUCAGUUCAAAACAAUGGGCUCCUAUAAAUUUUGUUUAACAAUAAAAACAAGACCAAGAAUCCUGCCUCCCUGGUAAUUACCGUCUGGAAACGGACGGUGAAAUAAUUAAAAUAGCAAUAGUUCUAGAACAAAUG
rnacentral:lncRNA from 1 species